CAGCCGCCGCGGGAACACGUAGGGUGCAAGCGUUAAUCGGAAUUACUGGGCGUAAAGCGUGCGCAGGCGGUUAUAUAAGACAGAUGUGAAAUCCCCGGGCUCAACCUGGGAACUGCAUUUGUGACUGUAUAGCUAGAGUACGGCAGAGGGGGAUGGAAUUCCGCGUGUAGCAGUGAAAUGCGUAGAUAUGCGGAGGAACACCGAUGGCGAAGGCAAUCCCCUGGGCCUGUACUGACGCUCAUGCACGAAAGCGUGGGGAGCAAACAGGAUUAGAUACCCCUGUAGUCCCUGUCUCUUAUAC
rnacentral:rRNA from 1 species